rnacentral:rRNA from 6 species
CCUGGCGGCACUAGCGCGGUGGUCCCACCUGACCCCAUGCCGAACUCAGAAGUGAAACGCCGUAGCGCCGAU